GGCCGCCCGAGGCGCCGGACGCCCGGCGGCCUGGAGCCGCCGGUGCCGCAUGAUCCUGCGGGCGGCGGCCG
rnacentral:tRNA from 1 species